rnacentral:rRNA from 1 species
UGGCUCAGGACGACGCUGGCGGCGUGCCUAAUACAUGCAAGUCGAACGGUCUUUCUAUGGAAGCUUGCUUCCACUGAGAAGAUAGUGGCGAACGGGUGAGUAACACGUGGGUAACCUGCCCAUAAGAGGGGGGAUAACAUCCGGAAACGGGUGCUAAUACCGCAUAGUUUUCUUGAUCGCAUGAUUGAGAAAGGAAAGACGGCCUUUGUGCUGUCGCUUAUGGAUGGACCCGCGGCGUAUUAGUUAGUUGGUGAGGUAACGGCUCACCAAGACGAUGAUACGUAGCCGACCUGAGAGGGUGAUCGGCCACAUUGGGACUGAGACACGGCCCAAACUCCUACGGGAGGCAGCAGUAGGGAAUCUUCCGCAAUGGACGAAAGUCUGACGGAGCAACGCCGCGUGAGUGAAAGAAGGUUUUCGGAUCGUAAAACUCUGUUGUCAGAGAAGAACAAGUUGGAGAGUAACUGCUCCAGCCUUGACGGUAUCUGACCAGAAAGCCACGGCUAACUACGUGCCAGCCGCCGC